CUUCAUUUGCAUCUGCAAAACACAAACAUUUGCAGAAUGAUGCUCUAUCACUGUGUGUCCAAGCCCCUACUGGCCUCAAGUGAUCCUCCUGACAGCUCCCUGUGGUGUGAAAAGGAGCUAUCAUCUACACUUGCUGCAGCGAACACUGGACAGUGAUAUUAAAACCUAGAGCAUGAGGAAGCCAGUGAGGAGAAGCUGGUGAGAGGCUCUGCCCUCAGAUGAGAGGAACUGGAAUUCACACAUGCUCCAUCUGCCUCUGCAAACUUCGGAUGACUCAGUGUCUACCCAGCGCCUGGUCAUCGGCAUUCCUGCCAAGUGGAUCUCAGGACAAAGAAAGGACAUGACUGCCUGAAGAGGGCCCAGACAUGCAGUGGGGCAGGUGCUGGCAUCUGAGAAAGUCCUAGGAGAGAACCUCCUCCAGUGUGUGAAGAGCUUCCCAAGCACCAGGUCCACUGACUGUGGCGUCAAAGACAGUGAAAAGCUGGCCUUGGGGUGAUGCCAUCCAGGAAGGCAUGCCAGAUCAGAUGCCCAGCAACUAUCAUCUUCUCUGCUUGGGCCCUACUGCUGUGGUUCAAGAAGGAACUACCUGAGCAACUGACACUUCUGCCAGCCACCAGUCCCUGUCACUGUGCAUCUUUGCCAAGCUAAUGUGCUCCCUGGAGGAUGGGACCAGCACAGAGUCAGGUAGGGCCUGGGGCUGGGUGUGUGACCUGUGUGUAGUGAUGGAGACUAAUUCAAAGCAGGGUGGGAGUGAGACAGAAGUGUGGUACAAAUAGCAUGGAGAAUGGGCUCAAGGUGCAGGAAGGGGCAAGGAUGAAAGCUGAGUUACAGGCCAGCUCUGCCACUGACAAGCUGUGAUUUCCCUCACCCCAAAAUGACAGUAAUGACACUUCACCUCCCUGAAGGCAGGAGCCAGGUUAAAGGGGCAUGUUGGAGUGAUCUUAAAUGACAGCUGUGACUGUGACAGGAACCCCCUGUGUUUAUGAUUUGAGAUUUUAUGUAACUGCACUUGAAAUAUUCAUGUGUGUGGAUUUUGUAUAUGCAUGGGUAGUUGCAUGUUGUCUCCAGUGCAUGUACAUAAUCUGUGUCAUGUAUUACAUGUGUUCUAUAUGGGGGCAAGAACAGGUUACACGUUAUAUGUGAUAUACUAAUGUAUGAGUUACAUAUUGUACAGUUUGGGUGUUACAGUUUUUGGGUUUAUGGGCUACAUGUCAGUAUUAUGGCUGCUGUAUUGUUAUAAUUUAUCUGUUGUAUAUUGUAUUUAACUUGCAUAUGAACUCCAGACUCAUAUAUCCAGCUGCCUUCUCAAUAUCUCUACUUGGAUACCUAACCAGUUUUCUUAAACAUAACAUGUCCAAAACAGCCUAAGAUUCCUCCAAACCUGCUUCCCUCACCAUCUUUCCCAAGCCCAUACGUAGCAAUCUUAUUUUUUCAGUUGCUGUAACUUUUUUUUCCACAUUCCACAUUCAAUUCAUAAGCAAAUCCUGUUGGCUGGCCUUUGCACUAUAUCUGCAGUCUGUCCACUUUUCAUUAUUCCCACAGUAAUAAUGUGGGAAUAAGGGUUCAGCCACCAUCACCUCGCUUCUGGAUUAUUGCAAUGACCUCUUAAGUGGUUUCCCUGCCUUCUCCCUUGUCCUCUACAGUCUGUUCUCAAUACUGCAGUCAGAAUAAAAUGUCACACCAUGUCCCUUCCCUACUCAGAGCCCUCAAUGGUUUCCCCCCAGUUAGAGUGAAAUCCAGAGCUGGCUCUUACAAUGGUCUAGAAGGCCCUUUGGGCUGCCCCAAGCCACCUCUCUGGCUUCAUCUCUUCCUAGUUUCCUUGCUCCAACUGUACCAGCUUCCUUGCUAUUCCUUGAACAUACUAGGCAUGCUCCUGCAUUAGGGCUUUUGCGGUUUCUGUCUCUUCAGCCUGAAAUGCUUGUUCCUAUAGAUAAUUGCAUGGUAGCUUACUGUCUCACCUCCCUCACUCCCUUUUUAUUUAUUAUUAUUAUUAUUUUUUUUUUUAGAAAAGGUCUCACUCUGUCACCCAGGCUGGAG
rnacentral:lncRNA from 1 species